CUAAAUUAGAAAGUGCUAGGCAGAAAUUCAAACAGACUAUGGAAUUGCUGGACUGGGCAAAAAAGCUGUUUGCCUGGCAGAAUGAAAAGAAGUAUGAAACAAGGAGUGUCAACAAAUUUCACAAGGCUUGAUAUUUGCAUCACUGAUGAAGCAGAAGAAGAAAAGCAUGGCAUGAUAAGGAGUAAAAGUGAACAGAAGAGGGUGUGACUGUGAAGAAGGAAGAAAAUGAAGACUUGGACAUGAAUCAUGGGUAGCGGAGCUGACUCCUUUGGAACUGACUGCUGCUGCCUUUUUCUGAAAGGAUGAAUGAAGUCCAGAGUGUUCAAAAUAUCACAGGAGGAAAACUUGAGGCCUGGAACGGCACACCACACUGACGAAUGCAACUGUCACUUAAGGCACAGGACAUUAGAUACAGGAAUCAAACUAGAGCCAGCUGUCUGGAAAGCUCUUCUUCUGCCAGGCACUCAGGUUCCCCUAGCAGGAUUUUAACCCGCCCUGGAAACCUGGUAAGGAUAUUUCUGCUAGUAGAGCUGCACCUCUGGUGGAGGCAGGGUGCAGACAUUUUACCGCAGCCAAACCAUAUGCAGCUUGAUUACACUUUGCUACAUUCUUGACAGCAAUGAAGGAGCAUGAGGUCGUAUUUUUUUUUUAGUGUAUGUCUUUGUGAAAGGAACAGUACUGAAUGUUCAAGAUCUCUGAGGAUCCAAAAGGAAUAUAUUGUGGCAAUGACCUUGAGGACAUGGAAAAGCAUGUUAUGUCACUUCAUGAUAAAGAAGCAGAAUGCCAUUUCAGGCUCUGUUAAUUUGGCAAGGUCUUUAAAUUCAAUACAGCUUUAGCUACCAGGCCCCUUCCUACCAUGCUUUGACAGUUCUAAACUAACCGUUGAAGGCUAGAUAUUGUAAUGCUAUAGCAUCUCUUGUUUUAUUAGUUGAAAUUUAAACGGAAAGGUCACUACUCAGAAAUUAUGCGGGAUUUUGUUCAAAUACCGAACUAAUUCUAGUUGCACACAACUUUCCUUCCUCCCCUUCCCCGGCUUUUAGGAUCCACAGCAAAAGGAAGAAGAGUUGUCUUUCAGGCAGCAUUGAUGUCCAUCUUCAGUAUCCUUUGAAAAGGUAUUGCUGACUAUUUCAUCGUUAGCAUUCAUUUCUUCAAAGAGGUAGAGAACUCCUGGUUGCCAGAGCUAGAAGACAUGAACUCUGACAAGCGUUACCUGGCACCUGUUGCUGGCCAGUUUUUAAUUAUUGCUUUCACAUAUGUUGUUACCAGCUGUUCAUUAACUAGGAAUGACUAGUUCCUUGUUACAGCAGAGGGUUCUAAACUUUUCCUGCGUUGUUGCCAAAAUAAUUACUGGUUUUGUCUUUCAGCUCAAAUCAGUCCUGCUUUAGCCAAUACCAUAUACCUGAUCAAUAAAUAUUUAAAAGAUUUGUAUGGCUGUGUCUAU